rnacentral:rRNA from 1 species
AUGGCUGUGCUGGUACAUCCCCAAGAGCUUGAAGCCAUGAAGCAGCGAGAGGUUGGCGUAUUGACGAGUCGCCGGGUUGCGGAUGGAGAAGUGCUUGCCGUGGACGCAGAUGACGAGGAGGCCGUCGCAGGAGGCCUGGAACAGGGCGUCGUCGACGCUGUAAAGUCGCGCGACGGGCCCUGCCCGGUGGUUAAAGGGCAUGAUGAGUACGGAGUUGCCGUCUUCGCCGUAGAUGAGGGCGAGGGAUGGCUGGUGGGCGUGGUGAGCGAGGAGGAAGUCGCGGGUGGAGGUGGCGCGGCGCCAGGCGCGGCAGACGGCGCGGCAGCGGAGGAGGGCCUUGGGGGCCAGGCGAACGAGGAUCUCCCAGAUGGCGACCUCUUCCGGGAUGCCGCAGUGGAGAGGCGGAGCUCCUGCUGUCGCCAUGGUCGCCGGCUGGGAGUUGUGGUAGCGACGGCGGCGGAGGAGGGAGUUCUUCCUCGCGGAAAUUAA